UGGGUUUAAGUUCCAUCAGCUGCAGGAGGGAAUGAGCCCUGGUGCCAGCCAUGCUGGGCAUUGGACAGUCUUACCAUCUUGUCUGUUACCAUUUGCAUUGUGCGAUUCUCCCUUGACCAGAGAAGGCAGAAAAGGAAGCAGGAGGGGGAGCUCAUUUUGUUUCUGGGAACUCCAGGCUUGGGGCAGGUGCAGAGCAGUUUGGUUUCAAAUAAUCCUGUCCAAAUAUAGUCAACUUGAACCUCUCUUGGGCACUUUUGGAGCCCUCUGUGCCGCUCCUCCUGUGAUCCUUUACCUGGGAGGUGUGGGGUCAGAAACCCCUGCCUACUGGAUAGGUUUUUACAUGUACAAAUGAAUUUUCUUCAAAAAGCCAUCAGGUGUCAUGAAAAUCUGUGGAAAACAAUAGUUGAUAGUAGGUUUUGGGCUUUUCUUCUUCCUCUCUUUAACCUCUCCUUUAGGACUUUAGUCUUUAGGACUCCUAAACUGGAAAAUUGAAAGUGGUGGGGCUGGGAGAAGUUGCUUUUCAUGAUUUUAAGUCUUGCUGUGGAUUUUGGUAUGUCAAGUGACACUUGACAUAGUGUCUGAAAUAGUGUCUGCUCCAUACCAAAAUAGAAUUGGAAUUGGAAUAAGUGAACUUCAGGGCUCGGCCCUUAAUUCUUUUGAUGUGCUUGUGUAGGUGCAGGAAUGCCAGAUCCCAAAGCAAUUCCAUAUCUGUAACCUUAAGUGCAACACCUUUAAAGCCAAGUCCUCAGUGUGGGCUUUUGACGUGGAUGCAAACGGUCUAAAGGCCUUUCUUGUUCCCUGAAAAGAAACGUGCCCAAAGGAGACCUUCAUUGCAUAUCUGGGAUUUCAAUUUGCUGUAGGAUUCUUCCCUCCAAUCUUCUCUCAGGUGCUUGAGCCAAAGGGGGUCUGACCCCAGAGCCACACAGUGUGUCUGUUGCCUCGAUAAAUGGAAAUGAAAUUUGCCAGGUGUGUCAGGAAAGCAAAACCAUCCUGGGGGUUGUUUGGCCAAGGAUGGAAGAUGAAGAUGUCCAUGCCAGUAGUGGGAGUGCAUGCUGGCAGUUUUGGGUUUGAGUUUGGGCAGUUUGGGUCCCUCUGGUCCCUCCGAAGUCAGGGCAAGGCUGAAGGAAGGAGGGAGGCUGCCAUAGCUGCAGGUGAGGGCAGCAGUGGCUGUUCCAAACUGCCUGGUCCAGAACUGGGAGAACUGGAAGGAUGGCUUUCCUCCUUCUCUAUCAACAUCACUGGGCAGAAUAUUAAGAUUUUAACUGAGCUCUCUCUUUUGUGGCUUGUUGUUUGGGUGGGUUUUCUUCUGGCUUUUUAAUGUAUUUCUAAGUGGUGCAGUAAGGAAUGAGUUGCUGGGUUCCAUGAAUUGUGACUGACAUAUCACAGCAGUGGGCAUACGUGUGUGCAUGUGCUUCCUGGCAAAUCCAGAUAUGAUGUGGGAUUCCUAAGUGAGGAUUUCCAGCCUGGGCCACACGUGACACAGGGUUCUGAGAAUGGAAGUGACCUUGGCAGAGCUGUGAAGCGCAGCAGAAUGAAUGUAAGCAGAAAAACCAGGUGAAAUGGUACUUUUUAGUCCUGUGUGCACCUCUGGCCUCUGCCUGCUGUGAAUGCUUGGUGUUGCAGCUCAGUAUAGUCCAUUUCAGUGUUUGCUGGGUUUGGGUUUUGUGUGUGACAAAAACACCGGUCAGGUACAGUAAACAACUCCCCUCCUUUACUGGGCACAUCCCUGGAGUGGGACCAGGCUCCCCCUUACCCUGGAGGAGUUCUCUGCUCCUCUGGAGAGAGGGUGAAGCCAAAGCUUAAGCUGAUAAAAUAUGAUGAGCCUGAGACUGUUUAGCAGCAAUGCAAUCUUUUAAAGAGCACAAGGAACACACAAUGCGAAAGAGUCUCUAGGAAAUGUUUCCAAAGGGCCUCUAUCUCCCUGCUUUUCCUGUAGUUCUCCUUCCUGUUUUCACCUGGGCUGGAAGGAUGGGCAUGGCAUAUUUAUGGUAUGAAAGUGAUGCUACCAGAUUUGUCCAGAAGUUCUGAUUAUAGACCCUCAUUUUCUGACAGAAAACAUUUUCAUUUUGCCUUUCUCGUGUUGUUUCCAGAAGCCGCCCAGGAUGGACUCGUGUGGUCUCAGACAGGGAUUCCCUAGGAGGAAGGGGAGCCUUUGCCUCAUGGGCACAGCUCAGGAGGAUGUGACAGAAUUGGUGUGGCCUGAGCAGGCAUAAAGAGCUGUCUGAGUUCUGGAGUGCCUUGAAACCUUUGUCUGUCAGGGUUUGGAGGGGCUUCUCUUUGGGAUUUCCUGUGAUGCAGGGUGUCCCUUUCGUUGUGCAUAGUCCAACAGUAAAGGAUUGAAUAACUGCCAAGUGGGGUCUGGGAUGAAAAUGGCUCUGUUGAAAUCAGGCAAAGAAUGCAAUAAGAAAAAGGAGCAUCCUUUUAAUGGCUGAAAUAGCUAGGAAUAAAAAUGCUGUAAAAGGACACUUUUAUAUUUGAGUUGGUGCCACCUCUCACAGAUAAAACCCCAUAGUGAGCAAUCAGAGCAGAAGUGUGAAAGCGGGAUGCUUUGACAUCUGCAGUGGACUUCAUUGUGGAUUUAAUUUUCUUUUCCUCUUGUCUUUCAGGACAGGAAAAAUCACUGAACUCCUCCCAUCUUUGCCAAAAGCUUUGGUGUUUAAGCAGCCAAGGCCAAGAGGCUUCAGCACCAGGGGUCUGCACUGGAGGGCUCCUGGUCCUGCCCAUGCUGUGGGGUGAGCAGGAACAAGAGGAAAUGUGGUGCCAGCAGUGUGUCCCAUCAGGCUGUGUUUCCCUCGGAGGACAGAGAGUCUCUGGGCUGAGGUGAGAUUGAUGUGAGUGCUUGGAUGAGCAAUGCAGGGAACAGGGAGCUCGGAAUUCCGGGUGCUGAUGGCCAUUGCCUUAGGUGUGUUUGGUUUGGGUGUGAGAGAACUGGGAUUUGGGCUGUUUUGGGGAAAAAGGAAGGGAAGAAACCCACUCGCUGGAUAUGCAGUGAAGGACUGUGUAGCAGGGAAGGGGAGAAUUUACAAACCCUAUCAAUAUUUCACCCAAAUUACGGGUGGAGCUGUGGUGGGUGUGGGUGGAAUUGGUUAUUCACGGAUGAUGUUCUGUUAUUCCUUGUGCAGCAAUUUCAUUCUGUUGGAGGAUUAACUGUCCGUUACUUUUCUAACAAAACCUGUUAGGAGUUUAGAUUUAGGUUUAGCCAUUGGGUCGGUUCACUCCAAACGCCUGCCAAGGCUGAAGGACUGGGGUGAUGAGUGCUCUCAGCAAAGGUCACUUAUUAAUACUGUGUCAGAUUUCCCUCAGCUCUGGGCAGGAAAGGAGAGGGAUUGGACCAGGAAUUCUGCAAACAAGGCCUGUGUGAUGGUUGGUUUCUUGUGUUUUUCAGUGAGCCGGGGCUGGCACACGGACUCAUGCAGGUACUGAUCUGGCACCGGAGCUGUUGCCCUUUGGAGCCAUCUUGAAGGUGUGAUCGUAGAACAUUUUGGAGGCUGUUUGGGAAUUCCAUUUGGAGCUGCAUCUCGCUGCAAGUGCAUCGGUCCAGGCUGUCCUUGCCCUGGUGCCUGCAGUGCCCAGCGCCUGAGACCGAGAGAGCCUUGUCCAAAGGGGCUUUUGGCACCUUGUCAGGAAUGUGGCAGCAGCCCCAUGCGGGAGCAGCUUGGAGUGAGAAGAACAUGAACUCACAGCCGUUCAGGCCUGACAGUCCCCUGCAGCGAGAGCUCAGCACACAUCCACAGAGGCAAGUCCAGCAUCUGAAAGAAAUACAAACCACAAAGAGGAGAAAAAGCAGGAGGAGGCGGUGGCCGGACGCGCUCCCUGCCCGUGCUGAGGCAGCCCCUGCGCCCACGGGAGGACAUCUCUGCCUGCAGGAGCUCAGCUCCUUUCAGAGCCCCAGCAGUGCCUCUGGGAGUUCCUUUACCUCAGGAAAGGGCUGCACAUCCCUGCCUUCAGCACACCUGAACUGGGACCCACCUGCAAAAGCUUCCCAUCACCUCUGCACUUCCAGCUGGCUCCAUGAAAAGCUCCAAACUUCAUCCCAACAGAACUCCAUCCGUGCGAACCUUCCGUUUUAAGGUGGGACCAGCCCUGCCUCUCUCCAGAACUUUGGCUGUGGAACCAGGGAAGGCUCAGGACUUGUCCUGCUCAUUUCAGCCUGGAAAGAGACAUUGCGAGAGCACUUGGAUGGUUGCUGGGUAAAUCCUGGAAAGGGCAGGAAAUCAGUGUUAUUGGAAGAGUUUUGUCGUGCUAGUUCUGCCCUAGAGCCAUGCCAGGGGCUGGUGCAUAAAGCAGCUUAAGCAGAAAAGAAGGCACUGCACUUCCCUUGGUGGUGCCAAGGAUUCCCAUCCUAGGGAGAUCCACCCCUGUGACACAGAGAUGGGCUCCGUUGGUUGGAGCAGAGUCCUGGUGAUGCCAGCGUUCUGAGCUCAACUCUCAAAGGGUCCAUUUGCUGGAGAGUCAGAUUUUAGGAUCCCUCCCGGCCUCAGUGUGUCCUGUGAUCUGCAAAUCAAGAGGAACAUUCUCAGCGGAGUUGUAUUAAACAGGUUUUGUCCCUGCA